rnacentral:rRNA from 1 species
CCCGCGACAAGCGGCGGAGCAUGCGGAUUAAUUCGAUGCAACGCGAAGAACCUUACCAAGGCUUGACAUACACCGGUAACGCCCAGAGAUGGGUGCCCCUUUGUGGUCGGUGUACAGGUGGUGCAUGGUUGUCGUCAGCUCGUGUCGUGAGAUGUUGGGUUAAGUCCCGCAACGAGCGCAACCCUCGUUCUAUGUUGCCAGCGGGUCAUGCCGGGGACUCAUGGGAGACUGCCGGGGUCAACUCGGAGGAAGGUGGGAUGACGUCAAAUCAUCAUGCCCCUUAUGUCUUGGGCUUCACGCAUGCUACAAUGGCCGGUACAAAGGGCUGCGAUACCGCGAGGUGGAGCGAAUCCCAGAAAGCCGGUCUCAGUUCGGAUUGGGGUCUGCAACUCGACCCCAUGAAGUCGGAGUCGCUAGUAAUCGCAGAUCAGCAACGCUGCGGUGAAUACGUUCCCGGGCCUU